UGGGGAAUAUUGCACAAUGGGCGCAAGCCUGAUGCAGCCAUGCCGCGUUUAUGAAGAAUGCCUUCGGGUUGUAAAGUACUUUCAGUCGGGAGGAAGGUGGUAAGGUUAAUAACCUUAUCAAUUGACGUUACCGACAGAAGAAGCACCGGCUAACUCCGUGCCAGCAGCCGCGGUAAUACGGAGGUUGCAAGCGUUAAUCGGAAUUACUGGUCGUAAAGCGCACGCAGGCGGUUGAUUGAGUCAGAUGUGAAAUCCCCGGGCUUAAACCGGGAAAUGCAUCUGAUACUGGUCAGCUAGAGUCUUGUAGAGGGAGGUAGAAUUCCAUGUGUAGCGGUGAAAGGAGUAGAGAUGUGGAGGAAUAACGGUGGCGAAGGCGGCCCCCUGGACAAAGACUGACGCUCAGGUGCGAAAGCGUGGGGAGCAAACAGG
rnacentral:rRNA from 1 species